rnacentral:rRNA from 1 species
GUAGUCAUAUGCUUGUCUCAAAGAUUAAGCCAUGCAUGUCUAAGUAUAAAUAAAUUUAUAUUGUGAAACUGCGAAUGGCUCAUUAAAUCAGUUAUGAUCUACGUGACAUAUUCAUUACUACUUGGAUAACCGUGGUAAUUCUAGAGCUAAUACAUGCAAAAAAACCCAGACUUACGAAUGGGUGCACUUAUUAGAUAAAGCCAACGCUGGGUAAAACCAGUUUCCCUUGGUGAUUCAUAAUAAUUAAGCGGAUCGCAUGGCCUUGUGCUAGCGACAGUCCACUCGAUUUUCUGCCCUAUCAUGGUUGAGAUUGUAAGAUAGAGGCUUACAAUGCCUACAACGGGUAACGGGGAAU